GUGGAGAUUGUGUAGCCCGGAUGCUGCCUUUCGGUUGUGACCCGAUUGUUGGGGUUCGAGUCCCCGCCUCCAACC
rnacentral:tRNA from 11 species